UACGGGGGGGGCAAGCGUUGUUCGGAAUUACUGGGCGCAAAGGGCUCGUAGGUGGCCAACUAAGUCAGACGUGAAAUCCCUCGGCUUAACCGGGGAACUGCGUCUGAUACUGGAUGGCUUGAGUGUGGGAGAGGGAUGCGGAAUUCCAGGUGUAGCGGUGAAAUGCGUAGAUAUCUGGAGGAACACCGGUGGCGAAGGCGGCAUCCUGGACCAUUACUGACACUGAAUAGCGAAAGCCAGGGGAGCAAACGGG
rnacentral:rRNA from 1 species